AGCCAUCAUAGACAUCGAUUGUAUCGCCAGUGGCACAUGGAUCAGAUGGUAAUUCGCCACCUGAAAUUGCUGUCGAGAUGCAGAUGGAUUCAAGGAUCCUUUGCUAGGAGAUUGGCGCAAGAAUUUCCUAUGUGGUAGUUUUGCUAGAGUUUUAUAGACCUUGGUGUGCAAGAAACUAGCACCAAUCUUAAUUGAAGUUGCAGUCUCAUUUAAAUCUAAUGAGGACGUGAUCAUUACAAAAUGCUCCUCUGAUUAAGGUAGCCACUUUCACCCACCAUACACAUUUCUGGGUGGUAUUACCUAAUCUCUUUUUGAAAUAACUUGUGUUCUUUGGUCACUUUGCUUCAAUUGUUGGUGUGAAGUAGCUCAGAUCCUUCUUUCCAAAUGGUGAAUUACUUUGUGCUGGGCCUUCAGACUAUAGUUAUUCUAAAUGCCUUUUGCAUUAUUGCAUCUGCGGCAACUUUUCUGCUCCCUUUGUUUCAAUGAAUUUUACUUGGUUUGUUCUUUGCCUUCAGGUAUUAUGGACUGAGUCAGCCACACAGUCCCAAUCUAUGAAGGUUAUGCUCAUAGAUCUCAGAAGAAACAUAAUGAAUCACCAUCAUCAACAUCAUCUAAAGCUAUCUAUCUAUAUUAUUCUAAAACAUAUCCCUGCUAAUGCAGACUGUAAACUGAAGAUUUGUGAUUUUGGGCUUGCAUGUGUAUCAUUCAAUGAUGCUCCAUCAGCUAUUUUCUGGAUUGUAUGUUGCUCUUCCGUGUUGUGUUUGAUGCCUGUUAUUUGCAGCUU